rnacentral:rRNA from 1 species
GAUGAACGCUGGCGGCGUGCCUAAUACAUGCAAGUCGAGCGAGCGGACGAGAAGCCUGCUUCUCUGAUGUUAGCGGCGGACGGGUGAGUAACACGUGGAUAACCUACCUAUAAGACUGGGAUAACUUCGGGAAACCGGAGCUAAUACCGGAUAAUAUUUUGAACCGCAUGGUUCAAAAGUGAAAGACGGUCUUGCUGUCACUUAUAGAUGGAUCCGCGCUGCAUUAGCUAGUUGGUAAGGUAACGGCUUACCAAGGCAACGAUGCAUAGCCGACCUGAGAGGGUGAUCGGCCACACUGGAACUGAGACACGGUCCAGACUCCUACGGGAGGCAGCAGUAGGGAAUCUUCCGCAAUGGGCGAAAGCCUGACGGAGCAACGCCGCGUGAGUGAUGAAGGUCUUCGGAUCGUAAAACUCUGUUAUUAGGGAAGAACAUAUGUGUAAGUAACUGUGCACAUCUUGACGGUACCUAAUCAGAAAGCCACGGCUAACUACGUG